rnacentral:lncRNA from 1 species
ACAACUAUUACAUGUAUUAGUCCAUUAGAAGUAUUUCUAAUGAUUAAGGAGACUUUUUGCUCUAAUAGAUUGGACUAAGUUCCUAAUUGAUUAGGAAUUGUAAAAUUGCUUCCCAAAUGUAGCAUCCCGAAAGUUUUAAACAUUUAUCAAUUUGAUGACAAUUCAAAAUCAUAACAAGAAGAAUGAUAUAUGAAAAAAAGAACAAAAAAGUCGUUGAAAAAAGGUCGCCGAAAUCCUU